AUUGAACGCUGGCGGCAGGCCUAACACAUGCAAGUCGAGCGGAGCGGGGGACGGGUGAGUAAUGCCUAGGAAUUUGCCUGGUAGUGGGGGAUAACGUACGGAAGGGGGACCUAAUACCACAUACUUUCAGAUGGGCCUAGGGCGGAUUAGCUAGUUGGUGGGGUAAAGGCCUACCAAGGCGACGAUCCGUAACUGGUCUGAGGGGAUGAUCAGUCACACUGGAACUGAGACACGGUCCAGACUCCUACGGGAGGCAGCAGUGGGGAAUAUUGGACAAUGGGCGAAAGCCUGAUCGAGCCAUGCCGCGUGAGUGAAGAAGGUCUUCGGAUUGUAAAGCACUUUAAGUUGGGAGGCGGUAUCUACAGAAUAAGCACCGGCUAACUACGUGCCAGCAGCCGCGGUAAUUC
rnacentral:rRNA from 1 species